rnacentral:rRNA from 1 species
GACGAACGCUGGCGGCGUGCCUAAUACAUGCAAGUCGAGCGGAGUGGUGAGGGAGCUUGCUCCCGAACCACUUAGCGGCGGACGGGUGAGUAACACGUAGGCAACCUGCCCUUCAGACUGGGAUAACUACCGGAAACGGUAGCUAAUACCGGAUAAUUCCUUUCUUCGCCUGAGGGGAGGAUGAAAGACGGAGCAAUCAGUUACUGAGGGAUGGGCCUGCGGCGCAUUAGCUAGUUGGUGGGGUAACGGCUCACCAAGGCGACGAUGCGUAGCCGACCUGAGAGGGUGAACGGCAACACUGGGACUGAGACACGGCCCAGACUCCUACGGGAGGCAGCAGUAGGGAAUCUUCCGCAAUGGGCGAAAGCCUGACGGAGCAACGCCGCGUGAGUGAUGAAGGUUUUCGGAUCGUAAAGCUCUGUUGCCAGGGAAGAACGUUCUCUAGAGUAACUGCUAGAGAAGUGACGGUACCUGAGAAGAAAGCCCCGGCUAACUACGUGCCAGCCGCCGCAGUAAAAC